rnacentral:lncRNA from 1 species
GUAUCAACACUUGUCCUCCCCUCUUGUUGCGCUUUCAAUUGAAAAAAUCUAGCCUUAUCGCUAGUGUGUAAUUUUAUAUGCUUAACUAAACUACCUGUGCCGCUACGAUCACCCGUAUACCUAUGAACAAGUAAUUUACCAAAAGAUUUACACUUAGCCUUAUCUUGAUCUCUUAGUUGAAUAAAAAAUUGCCAAACUAAUGAAGUUU